AGAUAACUCCGAAGCCUGUCUCGCUAAGUUUGACAGAAUACGCGAUUUAGGCCGUGACCCAGAGUCACCAGGGCGGCUAUAGAAAUGUGCCCGUCUCCCGUAUUUGGAAAGGUGUUUUGUGG
rnacentral:ncRNA from 1 species